rnacentral:snoRNA from 1 species
GGGGUUGCAGUGAUUAGAAGACUGCGCUCUUUUUGUGGCAUGACAGAUUCUUUUACACCCAUACAAUAUGAGCUCU